rnacentral:tRNA from 1 species
GCAGUGGUGGUCCAGUGGUAGAAUUCUCGCCUUCCCAGCAGGAGACCCAGGUUCAGUUCCCAGCCACUGCA